rnacentral:ncRNA from 1 species
AUGAAUGCAAUGAAGGAGAAGGAUAUUAUAUAUGUGUAGUUACAGAGAGUCGGGAACAGCUGAAAACCGAUACUACCUAUAUUUUAUGAAUCACUCUUGAGCAGUAUCUUCGAAGGAUUCUAUCUUGUAGUUGAUACCGACUAGCCUCGAUAAAGGCUUAGGUUUAGAUAAACCCCAAGAGGCAUCUUUAAAUCAAAGGAUGCAAUUAAGGUGGUACCACGGGUAAAACUCGUCCUUAAG